CCAGCCCGCUCAGAAACUCAAAGGAAUUGACGGGGGCCCGCGACCAAGCGGUGGAGCAUGUGGUUAAUUCGAUGAUACGCGAGGAACCUUACCUGGGCUCAAAUGUAUGUUGACGUAUUCUGAAAGGGAUACUUCUUCGGACAAUAUACAAGGUGCUGCAUGGUUGUCGUCAGCUCGUGCCGUGAGGUGUCGGGUUAAGUCCCAUAACGAGCGCAACCCCUAUCAUUAGUUGCCAUCAGGUCAAGCUGGGGACUCUAAUGAAACUGCCUACGCAAGUAGUGAGGAAGGUGGGGAUGACGUCAAAUCAGCACGGCCCUUACGUCCAGGGCUACACACGUGCUACAAUGGCCGGUACAAAGGGCAGCUACCUGGUGACAGGAUGCUAAUCUCAAAAGCCGGUCUCAGUUCGGAUCGGAGUCUGCAACCCGACUCCGUGAAGCUGGAAUCGCUAGUAAUCGCGCAUCAGCCAUGGCGCGGUGAAUACGUUCCCGGGCCUU
rnacentral:rRNA from 1 species